ACGGUACCUAAUCAGAAAGCCACGGCUAACUACGUGCCAGCAGCCGCGGUAAUACGUAGGUGGCAAGCGUUAUCCGGAAUUAUUGGGCGUAAAGCGCGCGUAGGCGGUUUUUUAAGUCUGAUGUGAAAGCCCACGGCUCAACCGUGGAGGGUCAUUGGAAACUGGAAAACUUGAGUGCAGAAGAGGAAAGUGGAAUUCCAUGUGUAGCGGUGAAAUGCGCAGAGAUAUGGAGGAACACCAGUGGCGAAGGCGACUUUCUGGUCUGUAACUGACGCUGAUGUGCGAAAGCGUGGGGAUCAAACAGGAUUAGAUACCCUGGUAGUCCACGCCGUAAACGAUGAGUGCUAAGUGUUAGGGGGUU
rnacentral:rRNA from 1 species